AUUAUAACUUAUAACGCACUUGUUAUCAAUUGUGGACAUACCGAGUUUAGUAUCGAUGUGCAGGUAUGACUGUCAUAUAUUGUUAUCUUAACCUCAACCUUUAACACACGACUCUGACGGAUUUCAGUUUCCUUUUAAAGCUCAUUGUCUAUUGAAGCAAUUCACGUGAGAAAAACCGAUCUACUUUUUUAAUGCGGGGUACAUAUUUAAAUCGCCGAUAUCCGAAUAAAUAGUUUACAAGAUGUAUUCAGUGAAACCAACGUCCAUUAACAACAAAGACAGACUCUUUAGAAGAAACAAAAAGGACUUGCAUUUGAAAUUUAUAGUAAUCGGAGAUUCUAGAGUUGGUAAGACGACGCUUGUGGAGAAAUACUGUGGUAAUGAUCGAGACAAAAACCAGAACAACAGCCAACUGUAUUACCAACAUACAUUGACCACAGCAGAAUGGAGCUGCAAUCUCAAAAUAGUGGAUACAGCGGGUAAGGAUUCAGUAACUUUAUUUUCUUUGCUGAAAUCUGUGUCCUAGGGCCUCUACCUAUAGUAUGUCCCAUUAUCCAUUAAAUAGUUUAGUGUCACAAUCUGCAUAUUUUGUUGUUUUUUAAAACGCAGUUUUAUUUCUUUUAGGACAGGAGAGGUACAGAAGCGUUACUUCUUCCUACUACAGAGGAUCACAGGGCUGUCUAAUUGUAUUUGAUACCUCGGAGGAGACAUCUUUCGUCAAUAUUGAACACUGGUAUAACGACCUGAUGAAUUACUGCAAUAGCACUUCAAUUUCUGUUGUUUUGGUCGGAAUCAAGCGAGACUCCCGCGAGAGAGUUGUGAGCACAGAACGUGCACAGUCGUUCGCAGACCACUUAAACUUGCCUUACUUUGAAGUGAACUUGGACAACAAUAGUGAAAUCUCGGACGUGUUCGACAAUUUGGUCAAAACUGUCGCGCAGACACUUCUGUCGCGUGAGAACUCUGUCAGUUCUUCCACCUUCUCGACAACACGCCUUUCAAAAGCUGUUACAAAGGCAGAGUCCAAACUCGGCUGUAGCUGCUGCUAGUUUCAAACAAAAGACUAGCCCUGUUAAGCUUUUAGAUAAUGUGCCAAAUAUGCAUUCUAUUACACUUUUUUCUGUGACUAGAAUCUCGCUGUCUUCAUUAUCAUACCCACUGUGAUCACCAUUCCAUUACCAUCACCACAUCAAGUUAUGUUCAUGUAUAUCACAUUUGUGACAUCUUAAUGCAAUUAUGUUUCUAUAAAUAAAAAUGUAU
rnacentral:misc_RNA from 1 species